rnacentral:rRNA from 1 species
UACGGGGGGGGGCAAGCGUUGUUCGGAAUUACUGGGCGUAAAGGGCUCGUAGGCGGCCAACUAAGUCAGACGUGAAAUCCCUCGGCUUAACCGGGGAACUGCAUCUGAUACUGGAUGGCUUGAGUUUGGGAGAGGGAUGCGGAAUUCCAGGUGUAGCGGUGAAAUGCGUAGAUAUCUGGAGGAACACCGGUGGCGAAGGCGGCAUCCUGGACCAACACUGACGCUGAGGAGCGAAAGCGUGGGGAGCGAACAGGA